rnacentral:sRNA from 1 species
UCAUUUAAUUGGAACUGGCUUACAGUUCAGAGGUUUAGUCCAGUACAGUCACAAUGGGAAGCAUGGCAGAGUGUGGGCAGGCACGGUGUUAUCAAGACAGCUAAGAGUUCUACAUCUGGAUUCUCAAGCAGCAGAAAGAGAGAAUAAGCCACUGAACCUGGCUUGAGCCUUUGAAACCUCAAAGCCCACCUCAAUGACACACUUCCUCCAAGGCCACACCUCCUAAGAGUACCACACCCUGUGGGCCUAUGGGGGCCAUUUUUAUUCAGUCUUGUUUUGUAUAUUCCUGUGAGCUGGCCCCUCUGUGACAACUUCUGCAGAAUCAAGAGCCUGGAAGGUUCUAGCUCAUCCCUGCAAACUACACUGAGGCCUGCUAAGCUAGCCCAUCCUGACAAUCUUGGGUCAGCAAAUGUGGGCCCACAUCAACCUUUCUAACUUAUGCUGCCUGGAAACGACUCCUCUUACAGAGACUGAGCAUAUGGAUGCUGAAUGUGACAACACAGCUCAACAAAAUAGGGUGAAGAAAGGAGAUCCCGUCCAACUGGACGCCACUGGUUCAAGCAUUGUCUGUUAGCUUGGUCAGUUUUCCCAGAGUCCCCUAGAGGCAGGUUCUCCAGGGAAAGAACCAAUAGAUACCCUAUAGAUGCAUGAGAGGAUUUUUCAUGGAGGCUAAGACCCACUAUAUGCUGCCAGCAGACUAGCAACCAUGGAAAUCUGUGACAUAAGUCCAAAGACCUGAGAGCCAGAAUUACUAAGGAUAUAGCUCUCAGUUUUAGGCUGAAGGCCCAAGAAAAUGCAAGGGGUUGGGAGGGAAUUGGCCUAAGUCUCAGAGUCUGAAAAUCAGAAUGUUUGAAGUUCUCCUGGUAAAGACCAGAAGACUGGUGCCUCUGACUCUAGAGGACUAUACAAGUUUGUCUUCAGCUCUUGAGGCUUACUCAGCCCACUGACUCAAAUCCGUUCCCGGCUUGCCUCACAUUGUCACACACCUCAGUGGAAGUGGGUGUUGUUUCUUUUUCACAGAUGAAUACAGAAAGAGUCUAGAAGAUGAGUGGACUUGCCUAAGGACACACAAUUGUGCUAAGCUAGCUUGAGCUACACAGCCAGAUCAGACCCUACUUCAACCACAGAAAGAUCUGCACUUGCCAUGAGCAUGUAGAGACACCAGAAAGGAGGAGACUGGACUGAAUCAGGAACGUCCUCAGAGGUAGGUCGGGUCAGCCCAAUCUUAUUGUUGUGGAGCCCUAGAUCUCUGCCUAAGGGUUUGAUCAAAGGUGGUUUGAUUAUUUCUGUGCUCUGAUAAAAAUACUCUGACAAAAUGCAUCACAGAGAGGAAUGUUUAUUUGGUUUAGAGUCCAUUGUUGUGGAGGAAGUUAGGGACAGGCAUCUUAACAUCACACCGUCUCCACAGUCAGUACCAGAGAGAAGCAAGCACACCCAUGCUGCCUCCCUGCUCACUGUCAGCUAGAUUUCUCCACUCCAUCUCUCAGGGUCUGUCCCAGGAAAUGGUACUUACUGCCUUCCUUCAGGGUGGGUCUUCCCACCUCAAUUUACAGACAAGACACCCACAACACACCAGACCAACCCACAGGCCAUCCCUCAGUAAGACUUUUCUUAGAUGAUUUUAGGCUGACAGUUAAAAAGCAAUUGGCAAAGACAGGUCACCUGUAAUAGACAGACAUUGCAUCUGUGGGCAAGGAAAUGUCCCAGGACCAAUUCUGGCAUCUCAUAGUCAACCUUUAGAUGCAAAGUGUCCACCUCCUUGCUACCAGGACAAAGGACAUGAUGUCUCCUGUCAGCUACUAGUCCCACAAAGGCUGUACCCCUAUAUGAAACUCAUCUGUUGACGUUGGUGCCAGCAGAGCAGCAGCCCUGAUUGGAUGCUGACGACAGCAGUGGUAGCAGCCACGCUUAAAGCAGCUAGGAUUUCUACUCAAGAACUCUGACAGAGACCAAAGCAAGCUGGAGCCUGGAAGACUUGGAGGACUGGCUUGUUGACUGCAGGGCAAAGGCAACUUUCUCCACUGUACUGAGCCUCUCUUAGAAGUCAGCAGCCUCUGUGCUCACUAGUGCUUUGCCUAUGUGGGAUGGGAGGCAUCAAGGCAGAGAACAGAAAAGCCACAAUACCUUGGCUUCUUGGUGACAUCAGCACACUGCUGGGAGGGCUCUAGCCCCACAGAGCCCUGGACAGUCCCAUCACUGAACUAAUAACCAACUCAUGUGGUUUCUAUCCCCAGCAACCCAAGCAUUCACACUGUACGAGACAAAGGCAAUGAUUUCUGGGGUGUAGACACACACAUACCCAGCCAUGCCUAAGCUGCUCUGACUGCCGUGCAUGCUCUGUAUGCAUCUGUUCUCUCCAUCAGCCUUAUCCACAUCAACCCUGUUGGGAUACACACAUUUCAUUCUGUAAAGUAUACCCUCUCCCUGUUCCUCCCUGCCCUUUGAUGGGCAAAGUGAUCUCCUGCCUCAAUUCACACAACUACUAAGUUGGGAAGCUGAAGGAUGCCCAGAUUCCAGGCUUUUAUCCACUGUGUUUAAUGGCAUUGCUACCCAACCUCAUUACAUUGCAAAGUAGAAUCUGUAGCUUUGAACCAGCUCCCUCGCUUUGCUGCAGAGGACAAAUCCAGCUUGGUCUCUUACUCUCUGUUCAUGAUCAUACUUUCUGUUGUGUUUUGUUUAUUUGAAACAGGGUCUCAUGUAGCCAAGGCCAACCUCAGAGAGCUCCUGAUCUUUUUGCCUCUACCUCCCAAGUACUAAGAUUGUAGGUAUAUUACAGGUGCUCACCACACCAGUCUUCAGGCCCACUCUGAAAUGAAGUUGACAGGACCACCUUCUUGGAAGCUGACUAUCGUCGGUGCUGCUUAACAAAGGUGUUUGGCUCCCCACUAUGUCAGUGCACACAUGAUGGAACUUCUGGUUCUCUCGGUCAGGUCACGGUCUGCUCAAAGAUUGUGAAUAGAGGGAGAACGCAACAGUUUCUGGUACAAAAUAUUAAAAGCUAGAAUGAGACAGGGUUCUAUCUGUCCAGCAGAGCAGUGCUCUGGACAGCGGUGGCUCUGCCAAGCAGAGUCCCUAGCCCACACAAUAUGAGUUAAGCAUGAGCGCUCUGGUUCUAAGCCAUCUAGAACUGGGCCUUGAUGGAUAUCCUAGUGUGCAUUGGUCUGUCUCACUGACUGUUUUCUCCUCCACAGGUAUUAGUCUUGUAUUUAUGAAUUCAUUUCAACUGAGGAAAUGAUGUUUUAAAUGGCAUCUCUACUGAGGGGAGAACCUAAGUGAGCAGCAUGGCAACUCUUUAUAUCACGUUUACUCUGUAGUGUAUUAAAGCAAUCCAAAAAUG